rnacentral:rRNA from 1 species
AACGAACGCUGGCGGCGUGCUUAACACAUGCAAGUCGAGCGAGGAAGGGGGCUUCGGUUCCUGAGUAAAGCGGCGCACGGGUGAGUAACACGUGGGUAACCUGCCUUUCAGUGGGGGAUAACAGUUCGAAAGGGCUGCUAAUACCGCAUUCGUCCACACGGUCACAUGUCUGUGUGGAGAAAGAGGCGCAAGUCUCGCUGGAAGAUGGGCCCGCGGUCCAUUAGCUAGUUGGUGGGUAAAGGCCUACCAAGGCUUCGAUGGAUAGCUGGUCUGAGAGGAUGAUCAGCCACACUGGAACUGAGACACGGUCCAGACUCCUACGGGAGGCAGCAGUGGGGAAUAUUGCGCAAUGGGCGAAAGCCUGACGCAGCAACGCCGCGUGUGUGAUGAAGGCC